AAGCAGGCGGCGUGCUAAUACAUGCAGUCGAGCGGAGUUGAUGAGGUGCUUGCUUCUCUGAUGCUUAGCGGCGGACGGGUGAGUAACACGUAGGUAACCUGCCUGUAAGACUGGGAUAACUACCGGAAACGGUAGCUAAUACCGGAUAAUUUAUUUUUUCUCCUGGGGAGAUAAUGAAAGACGGAGCAAUCUGUCACUUACAGAUGGGCCUGCGGCGCAUUAGCUAGUUGGUGAGGUAACGGCUCACCAAGGCGACGAUGCGUAGCCGACCUGAGAGGGUGAACGGCCACACUGGGACUGAGACACGGCCCAGACUCCUACGGGAGGCAGCAGUAGGGAAUCUUCCGCAAUGGACGAAAGUCUGACGGAGCAACGCCGCGUGAGUGAUGAAGGUUUUCGGAUCGUAAAGCUCUGUUGCCAGGGAAGAACGUCCGGUAGAGUAACUGCUACCGGAGUGACGGUACCUGAGAAGAAAGCCCCGGCUAACUACGUGCCAGCAGCCGCGGUAAUACGUAGGGGGCAAGCGUUGUCCGGAAUUAUUGGGCGUAAAGCGCGCGCAGGCGGUCAC
rnacentral:rRNA from 1 species